GACGAACGCUGGCGGCGCGCUUAACACAUGCAAGUCGAACGGAAAGGCCUGCUUUCCCUUGUGGAUUGCGGGUACUCGAGUGGCGAACGGGUGAGUAACACGUGAGUGAUCUGCCCCCAACUUGGGUAUAAGCCUGGGAAACUGGGUCUAAUUCCCGAUAGGACUGCAGGGUGGUGCCUGUGGUGGAAAACGAUUUUCUAGUGGUUGGGGAUGAGCUCGCGGCCUAUCAGCUUGUUGGUGGGGUAAUGGCCUACCAAGGCGGCGACGGGUAGCCGGCCUGAGAGGGUGGACGGGCACAUUGGGACUGAGAUACGGCCCAGACUCCUACGGGAGGCAGCAGUGGGGAAUAUUGCACAAUGGGCGGAAGCCUGAUGCAGCGACGCCGCGUGGGGGAUGACGGCCUUCGGGUUGUAAACUCCUUUCGACCGCGAGGAAGCCACCUGGUUGGAAGGGUGGUGACGGUAGUGGUAGAAGAAGCACCGGCUAACUACGU
rnacentral:rRNA from 1 species